rnacentral:rRNA from 1 species
AUACGUAGGGGGCGAGCGUUGUCCGGAAUGAUUGGGCGUAAAGGGCGCGUAGGCGGCCGCUUAAGUCUGGAGUGAAAGUCCUGUUUUCAAGAUGGGAAUUGCUUUGGAUACUGGGGGGCUUGAGUGCAGGAGAGGUUAUGGGAAUUCCCGGUGCAGUGGUGGAAUGCGUAGAGAUCGGGAGGAACACCAGUGGCGAAGGCGGGUAACUGGACUGCAACUGACGCUGAGGCGCGAAAGUGUGGGGAGCAAACAGGAUUAGAUACCCUGGUAGUCCACACUGUAAACGAUGAAUGCUAGGUGUAAGAGGUAUCGACCCCUUUUGUGCCGGAGUCAACACAAUAAGCAUUCCGCCUGGGGAGUACGGCCGCAAGGUUGAAACUCAAAGGAAUUGACGGGG